GAAAUAUGUCAAUAUAACAAGUUCACAAUACAACAAAUUUACAAAUAUCACAAAGACCACAAGUUCACAAUUCACAAUAUAACAAGUUGAUCACAAAGACCAUAAGUUCUGACUUUGAAGUUCAAUAGGCAACUCCAACAACAUACGCUUCUGUGGAGGUGACCUUCACUAGCCAUUAGAGCAGAUCACGGUUUCUACCUGCAAAUAAAAAUUGCGACAUUGAAUAAAAAUUGUGAUAUUAGAGUAGAUCACACCUUCAUAGUUUUUGCACUAAGAUAAGUCACGUGAAUAUACUCUUAGUCUUAUAUAUAAACUCGAGAAAAAAAAUAAAAAAAGCCGAUCAUGGUGACUGGUGACUAAAGAAGCUUUGCUUCUAAAAUCUUAAAUCUAGUUGACUAGGCUGAUGGAAACUAACAGCCAACACAACUUUUUUGAGAAACAAUAGGCAACACAACUGCAUAGUGAAAUACACGAUGAAGCUAAUGCUAGGAUUAAAUUGACAUGCAAGUGGUGAGCCCUCCGCCGGACUCUAGCGCCACCUUGUUUGACUCUGCUCUUGCUUGCUGACUGCAGGAGGGCGACAGUACUAACCUCGACGUGGCUAUUGCUCUAGCAGUGGGUGCCGCAGCCCGGUAAGCAAAGCUAGGAGCCUAGGAUUGCAGAUUACUUACCGGAUUGGGGGCAGAGCCGCAGAGGUGCCACAGCCGGUAGUGCGUCCGUCCGUCCGUGGUCUGUUACUCUGGUGGAUCUCCACUCCACGCGACGCAGCCGGCAGUGCGUCAGUGGGUGCCGCCGCCGCCGCAGGAUUUCGAGCGCUGAGCCAUGGCGGUUGUGUGCCUAUGCCUGUGAGACGGUUGUUACAGUGGCGGCUGUGAGGCUAUGAGCAGUGGUGG
rnacentral:lncRNA from 1 species